CAACAUUUCCACAUGAAAAGGUUCAAGUGUCAGGAGCAUCGCAGACCGGCGGUUCCUCAAAAAGUGUAUAUAUUAGGCCGGAAGUCACAAUGGCUCACGAAUGUAUCAUUCAGUCGUCUGAAGAGCUUGAAGAGAAAGGGGACAGGAAUGGAGGACAUUGGAGACUUGGACUUGGUGCAGCUGGUUGAUGGCCUGGAUCCUGAGGAGCUCAUUUCACAGCUGGAGGAAAUGUGGGAUGAAGAACCAUUUCCAGAGGUGGAGUUUGAGGAGCCUGACCUGGAAGUGGUCUCACCUCUGAGCCUUCCAUCACCACCUCCGGCAGAAAGAGCAACAUCAGUGCUCCCUUCACCAUCUCCAUCCCUUCCUUCAGCAUCUCCAACCUUGCCAGUGAUGUUGACCCCUGCACUGGCUCCAGCUGCCCAUCUGACAGUGCUACCGUCACCAUCUCCUGCACGGCCUCCCUCCCACCAUCAGCCCUACGCUGCUUUCUCCAGCAACCACUGCUGCGUGAGCCACAAUGCUCAGUGGAGCCCUUGCUUCUACUUUGGCCCCAUGCCCUACUAUUCUGCAGCACAGUGGCCGCCGCAGCUCUACAUCCCAAACGUGACCUUGAACCACCACGGCCAUCAGACGACCCUUGUGCAACCUGUGGGAUAUUUUGUGCCAGUAAACCUGCUGCCCCAGUGUCACAACCUCUUUCGCUGACGUCACCGCCACAGCCUGCACCUCCUGCACUUGAACUGCACAGCCAGCUUCCACCACUGGACUCCUGGACCUCACCAGCCACUCGUCUGGGAUCUCCACCACAGCACUAGAAGCAGACUCUUGCUUUUCUGCACAAUUAAAUAUCCAAAUCCGGAUUUCCAGUCUGCGUUUGAGUCCCCUGCUUCAACCACGUCACACCCAGUUGAUAGGGAGCCAGAGCUUCGUGCCAACUGGAUGUCUGUGCUGCUGAGAAGAAGAUGGGCGGCUGGAGACAUGCUGAGGAGCCAGUAAACCUGCAGCCCCAGUUGAUAGGGAGCCAGAGCUUCGUGCCAACAGGAGGUCUGUUCUGCUGAGACGAAGAUGGGCGGCUGGAGACAUGCUGAGGUCAGAGUCAGUGGACUUCCACCUUGUAUGUUUAGCGCUGGAUUUUCUUCCGUUAUUGAUGAGGUUGCUGUCUUGUAUGUUUUCUGUCCAGCAGAAAGGUGCCAGCGGGCCGAGAAGAUGCAGCAGAAAAGGGAUCAGGAUGCAGGAAGAUCUUCAGCUGCCUAUUCUUCAUCAACAGCAUUAUCAUGAGGAAUGAUGUAAAUGUGAGAGAUGUAAAUAUUUGAUCCAGU